AUACAGAUAGCUCAAUCAGUACAGCAUGAGACCCCUAGAUCUCCGGGUGGUGGGUUCAAGCCCCACGUUGGACG